AGGAAGGUAGUGUAGUUAACACCUGCAUUAUUUGACGUUACCUACAGAAGAAGCACCGGCUAACUCCGUGCCAGCAGCCGCGGUAAUACGGAGGGUGCGAGCGUUAAUCGGAAUUACUGGGCGUAAAGCGCAUGUAGGCGGCCUGUUAAGUCAGAUGUGAAAGACCCGGGGCGUUAACCUCGGAAUUGCAUUUGAAACUGGCAGGCUAGAGUCUUGUAGAGGGGGGUAGGAAUUUCAGGUGUAGCGGUGAAAUGCGUAGAGAUCUGAAGGAAUACCAGUGGCGAAGGCGGCCCCCUGGACAAAGACUGACGCUCAGAUGCGAAAGCGUGGGGAGCAAACAGGAUUAGAUACCCUGGUAG
rnacentral:rRNA from 1 species